CGGUAUCCUGAGAAAAAAACCGGUAUAAAUUAUACGAAGGAUAGGCCUUCAUAUAAUUCACGUUCGCUCCUCUUGGGCAGGUCUAUGACCAACGUGCAAGAUAAGAUAAGAAGAUAAGAUAAGAUAUAAAUACAUUAAAUGAUACCUAUUUUCCCAAAAUUUACUCCUGAAUUUAUUUUUCCAUCUAUAGAAAGAAAUAAUUAUUUAAAAGAUGAUAAGGCAAUAAAUGUCGCAGCUAAUAAUUAUUUAGAAAAGAUUAAAAUGAUGGUGAAUCCUACAAUGAAAGAUUAUCAAAAUAAUUUACCAGAGAAACCAAAUCAUGUAAAUAUUGAAGAUUCCUUAUCUAAUGCUUCUGAUGAUAUUGAUAAUUUUACAAGCAAUCAAGCACAAAAUAAUUUCUCAGCCCAACUUAUUACCACAAAUGAGCAAAAUUCUGUUAAUAAUAAUUAACAAUAACGAAGAUGGGGAAUAAUGCAAAUUUUUUUACAAUAAAUCUUUAGAUAUAAAAUAUAUUAUAUUCUUAACAUUUUAUUAUUAGAUAUACCAACCCACUAUAUAUAUUUGUUUAAAUUAAAAUAUAGCUUUCUAUAUUAUUAGUUCACAAAUAAGCUAAGAGCAUCAUUUUUUAAAAACUAACCUACAAUUCAAGCUGCUAGCCAUCAGCAUGAAACUCCAUAAUUUUUUCCCCAAUAAACAGAGAACUAUCACAAAUAACCCACACUUAUUUUUUGAUAUUAUUAAUAAGUAAUUUAUUUAAUUUUUUUUAUUUUAGAAUUGAAUUUAAAAAUAACUAUCAAUAAAAAUAUCUUAUGUUGAUAAUGCUAAAGUGGGUUUGUAAAAUAAGAGUGUUUUUACAGGUAGCAUAAUCCACACUACUUAAUGCUGAUUAGAUAAUUUAUAUAAAAAGGCUAUGCAUUUAUUUUAUUUUAAAAAUAAUUCAAUGAAAUGUUCUAAUGAAUUUAGUUCUUUUAAUAGACAAUAUUG